rfam:Schistosoma mansoni, Puerto Rico, WGS project CABG01000000 data, contig: 0207
CUGCCACUGAGGAGUCCCAUAAUAGGACGAAACGGCCUUAAAGCAG